UGAGGUUUGUUGGGAGGCCAUCCCUCCCAAUGCAAACCAAGGAUGUGCCAGCGUCCCUUCAGAAAUGCCCGAAAAGGGGUUCCAGAUUUCCAGUGAAAAAUUGGCAGGAAAGCUGCAUCACAAGUUUGAGCAAGCUGUGGGGGGACUUUGCAGGCAAACUUCUCAAUGUAUCUCUUUCUAGCUGCAGACUUGUGUCCUACACGCGACGAGGCUUUUGUAACUACACUUUAUAUUGGUGGUGCUUGCUGUAAAUAAAUUUUUCCAGGCACUUUUUCUUUGUCUUGGUGUAAUUUCACUCGAGAGCAACCUGCAUCAUUUACUUGAAAGCUGAGCCCACAUUAAGCGCAAGACAGGAUAUUGAACUAGUGCUCAGCUGUGAAGAAAUAACUUAGCUAAGAAAAUGUUUGAGAGUGAACUGUACCUUCUUAACAGCACGUCUAUUUAAGGGGCCAGAACACCAAAUUUUUAAACUGGAGUUGUGCAUUGGAUGUUAAACCGUACAUGUCGAACUACUAGUUGGCAAAAACUUGUGUCCAUUCAGUGCUUUAGAAAAUUUGAAUUUUUUUAUAUUGCAGUUGAACCAUACAGCAUUUGGCAAAAAAAAAUGAAAUCAUACCCCCGGAAACUGCUCUCUCAGAGCAAUGAAAUCUUAUCUCAUCUACUGGUGAUUUUUAUUGUGCAAGUGAGGGAAUUGUGGGCACAAUUCAAUGACAAUGCCCUUGCUAUGCUGUUGGCUGCCAGAGCGUGUGCAGUGAAAUGUUCCGUGUGGUCUUGGAACUGUUUCGAGCAGACUACACAGUGGUGGCCCCUUACUCCUUGGCGUUGUACAGUUGAUGCAAAAAUGCCGCUCGUCAGUGGGAAGCAGGGUGUUGUAAUGAAAUGUUUUUUGUUCUGGUUUUAGUUUCAUUCCACUGAAAAACAUUCCGCUCCGGAAUGGGGGAAAAAAAUGAUCCCUAAUUUUGCAUUCAGGAGCCUGGAUCUCGACAUGUCAAGUCCCCAUUGUGAUGUAGCCCACAUUGUUAUGCUAUAUAUCCUUUGCAAAGUGGCCGAAGCUGAUUACUGCUGUGCUUUUGCUAUAGGCUGGCGAAAACAAGCAACAAAUGACUUUUUCCCUUUCCCUUGGAUUGAUGUUCCCUCACAGCUUGACGUCAAGAACCAUGCCCCUGAAUGCGAAAUUAGCUGACUGUCAAAUUUGAUAUCUCUGAACACAAGCACUCCAGGAGAAUCAAAUCAGUGUGUUGUCUUCAAAUGCGAUUGUCUUGAUGUUUCAAAUAUAAACUUGUACCAUAAUUGUGACAGCAGAAAGGUGAAUUAAGAAGUUUUUGUUACCUAUGUAUUUGACGACUAAUUGUUCACAGAAAUUGUCCUCGAAAGUGUGUAAAAUGCUUGUGCAAACAGAUUCCGCGUCGUUCGCAUCAUGUUUUUAUUAAAAUUGCUGUUGGUUUAACGUAU